CCGCCACUGACCGUUAAACCGAGGUCGUAUCGUAUAUCGGCCAUUCCAAAUAUGGACCCUUCCAAGUUUUGACCCACGCUGACAAUUUAGUGCAGAUUUCAAUCGUUCGAAUCGUUAUUUUACAGUCCAAUAUUGAUGAGCAAUCAACAUUGUUUGCUUUAAUUGCAUAGUAUUAGUGAGAAAUUAUUGCGCAUACCUUCCGUGUUCUUCUUCUGUUCACAUAGCUUCGGAAAGUGUUGUCGAAAUUUUUUCUCCGAAAAGGAAGAUAAUUCGAAGACAAUGUUUGGUAGUCCAACGUCGACAUCUUCCUGCGGUGAUAUUUAGCGACACUGAUUCUAAUAAAAAAAAAAAAACAAAUCAAUGAUUCAAUUUCACGAGCUAAAUACUAGAUUCCAAGCUCGGGAAAAAUGCGCCAGCGGUUAAGUGACCAAACCGACUACUACGCAGUCCCGAAUGGAAUGACUUGCAACGGUUAGACGAAACUUGUUUGUGCCGAAACGAGUUGGGUGGUGGGAGAAGACGCCGUCGCUCAUUGGCCGAUAUUGGUGGUGAUCGUGGAAUCACGUAUCAUCUAUCCCUUCCCUCAAUCUUACCGAGAAUGCGUUAGGUAGUGUUUCUACCCUAACCCAAAGAGUAGAAAUACUACCUAACCAAAGCCGUUAAAUCCAUAGACUGAAAUGAGUUUCAAAUGGAAACGAUUAUUCGGUUAUACUACGAAUAUAGCUCCAACACUGUUGUCAACAGAGUCACCUUAAGUCUAUAAAAUAAUACAAACUGAAAAAAAUUUCUUCUGUUUAAGUAAAUAUCUGACUAGUUCGUCCUGAUUUGUUUCAUUUGAUUUAAGAUUUGUUUGAUUGAAAUAAGUCGUACUAAAAUAUCAUAGAUUCACUAAUUCUAAGAUCAAUGCAAUAGUCGUUUAAUUUAAUUUUUCUUUUCUAAAAACAAGUAAAUAUCGUUGUUUUUUUAUGUUGCAUUGUUUACUUAGCAUAAAGUCUUUACAGUGCGUGUGUCAAGUAUUGUUCCAAAACUCAAUUGUAAUUUUUACUCGGGUUUUGUUUACAACUAGAGUCGAGUGGUUUUUUUCCGAUACUUUCUGCUCAUAUUUGAAUAUUAGUAUACCGCAGGGUUAAGAAAAAACAACUAUCCUUGUUUACAAAUAAUGCUGCAUGGUAUAAAGAAAUGUAAAUAUUGCCUGUUCACGUGAAUUUUGUUGAACGAAUAUCCAAGUUGAGCUUAUUUUUGUACAUUGGAAGUAUAAAUAAAUAUACAUUUCG